GAUGAACGCUAGCUACAGGCUUAACACAUGCAAGUCGAGGGGCAGCAUGGUCUUAGCUUGCUAAGGCCGAUGGCGACCGGCGCACGGGUGAGUAACACGUAUCCAACCUGCCGUCUACUCUUGGACAGCCAUCUGAAAGGAAGAUUAAUACAAGAUGGCAUCAUGAGUCCGCAUGUUCACAUGAUUAAAGGUAUUCCGGUAGACGAUGGGGAUGCGUUCCAUUAGGUAGUAGGCGGGGUAACGGCCCACCUAGUCUUCGAUGGAUAGGGGUUCUGAGAGGAAGGUCCCCCACAUUGGAACUGAGACACGGUCCAAACUCCUACGGGAGGCAGCAGUGAGGAAUAUUGGUCAAUGGACGAGAGUCUGAACCAGCCAAGUAGCGUGCAGGAUGACGGCCCUAUGGGUUGUAAACUGCUUUUAUAAGGGAAUAAAGUGAGUCUCGUGAGACUUUUUGCAUGUACCUUAUGAAUAAGGACCGGCUAAUUCCGUGCCAGCCGCCGCCGUAA
rnacentral:rRNA from 1 species